GAGCUCAUCGUCUAAAGGAUAGGACAUCGGUCUUCUAAAUCGUUAAUGUAGGUUCAAUUCCUACUGGGCUCA
rnacentral:tRNA from 1 species